GAUGAACGCUGGCGGCGUGCUUAACACAUGCAAGUCGAACGAAGCACUUUAACUUGAUUUCUUCGGAUUGAUUGUUAUUGUGACUGAGUGGCGGACGGGUGAGUAACGCGUGGGUAACCUGCCUCAUACAGGGGGAUAACAGUUGGAAACGACUGCUAAUACCGCAUAAGCGCACGGUAUCGCAUGAUACAGUUUGAAAAACUCCGGUGGUAUGAGAUGGACCCGCGUCGGAUUAGCUAGUUGGCGGAGUAACGGCCCACCAAGGCAACGAUCAGUAGCCGACCGGGGAGGGGGACCGGACACAUUGGAGCUGAGACACGGCCCAAACUCCUACGGGAGGAAGCAGUGGGGAAUAUUGCACAAUGGGCGAAAGCCUGAUGCAGCGACGCAGCGUGAACGAUGAAGUAUUUCGGUAUGUAAAGUUCUAUCAGCAGGGAAGAAGAAUGACGGUACCUGACUAAGAAGCACCGGCUAAAUACGUGCCAGCCGCCGCUGUAA
rnacentral:rRNA from 1 species